GCUAUAGCAUUGGAUUUAAGGUCUAUAAAGGACCAUCUCUCAUUUACAAAUAUGUUUUCAGUAAAUGCAUUGGUUAAAUAUUAGUCCAACAGUAGAAACUUGUACUUGAAUGAAUAUAGUAGAACAGCUUUCUGGACUAGAAAUUCCAUUUUUGCUCCACGGACCUUUCCCUGAGAUUCAGGACUACUCUUGGUAACUUGUCAGUAAUGAAAAUUUUACUGAGAAAAAGUUGCUUUUCUCCUCUUGAGAAUUGUACUUUCAUAUUUUCAUUUGCAUGUUUAGCACAUGUGGCUCUUUAUUUUUCUACUGACAGUAGUCAUUUGCAAUUAGAGUACCUUAUUUUUAGAUGGACUGUGAUUAUGCCAUAGAGUCAAUCUGAAGAAACACUCCCUUUGUAGUUAUGGUAGCAAUGAGUAUUAACAGGCAUUUCUAUUUACUACUAUUUUCAAAUAAAAUACAUUGUUCCUCAUUAAAGCAGGUAAAUACUACACAGUGCUAGAAAGAAUCAAACAAAUAUAGGGAAGGAAACUUAAACCUUAGGUGCAAUUUAACAUCUUCCAAGAUGUUGCUUAAAUUAGUGCUUCUCAAAUUCGUUCAUGUGCUAGAACCUCUGGAAAGCCUUGUAAAAUUCCCCAAGGCAAGGAUGUUUAAACUUUAAAUAAUUAGCAUCUACUCUUAUGAUAAACCUAAUAUCACAU
rnacentral:lncRNA from 1 species